rnacentral:rRNA from 1 species
UGGGGAAUUUUGCGCAAUGGGGGAAACCCUGACGCAGCGACGCCGCGUGGAGGAUGACGGCCUUCGGGUUGUAAACUUCUUUUGCAGGGGAAUAAAGGACGGUACGUGUACUGUUUUGUAUGUACCUUGCGAAUAAGGAUCGGCUAACUCCGUGCCAGCAGCCGCGGUAAUACGGAGGAUCCGAGCGUUAUCCGGAUUUAUUGGGUUUAAAGGGUGCGUAGGCGGAAGAAUAAGUCAGUGGUGAAAGUUUGCAGCUCAACUGUAAAAUUGCCGUUGAAACUGUUUUUCUUGAGUGUAAAUGAGGUAGGCGGAAUGUGUUGUGUAGCGGUGAAAUGCUUAGAUAUGACACAGAACACCGAUUGCGAAGGCAGCUUACUAAGUUGUAACUGACGCUCAGGCACGAAAGCGUGGGGAUCAAACA